CCAGCUGUCCUGCUCUGACGAGAGGAUGGGGGCAGACAGGGUAGGCACACAGUUGUCAACACAUUGUGAUGCAUUUUGUAAUCCUCUUAGAUGUUUUUCAAGAGACAGCAGAAACAAUUUAAAUUUCUCUUCGGUUAUAUUUGGGUAUAGGACCCGUGUUACUCCUGAAUGCAACACCUGGUGAAUGAAAGCUGAAGUCAGACUGAGAGUCCCCAGUUUAUGGGGGACACAGAUAUCUACCGGGUGCAGGACUCGGGGUCCCAAGACAGCUGCUUGCACCAUGGCUGAGGAGGAAGACCCCAGCAACUGUUCACGACUUUGGCUCAUUCCAACUGAGUGGAUUUAUGGACAUAGUAACAAUCGCCAACAUUUCAGAAGCUAUUCCCUGAACAAUGCACGAGUGUGCCAGGAGAAAAGAAACAACUCGAAGUUACAUAUGUGCUUCAUUUGUCCUCAGGAAAACAAGCUCCGAAGAUAUCCUGCCUCACCCAAUCUCUACCAAAGGAGUCCCAGCAGAAGAGAGGCGCCUGGCCAGGGAAUUCUGUGUACCCACUGACUUCCAAAGGCCUGGGACUGAUCCUACACUCUUUGGAGGGAAGAGAAGAUGUCAUUCCUAGCACAGGCUUGGUAUGCAGUAGGUACCCAAUACAUGUUUGAGGCUAUAAAUGUGAUUCCAAAAGGAGGUACCUUCAGUCUCCUCAUGAAAAGAAAACCCAGAGCAGCUGGACUAGAACCAGUGGUGAGGCAGCAAUGAGCAAGUGAGAGACGCCAGCCCAGGAGCUCAUAACAAAAUGUGCUGGUCAAUGAACAAACAUCAUGGCAGGCCCCUAAGGAGCUCAAGGCCCUGAAGUUGGUACUGGGAGAAGACAGAGAAGGAGAGUCAAUCCUGGCCUUCAGGGAGUUUCUUGAGGAAAGGAACCGUGUACACCUGAGGGGAUCAAACCAGUCCAAGCAAUGUUGCCUGACCACCAAGGAGUUAUAAGGCGAACAUGCUUGUGGCUUGCAGUGAAACUGCCUCGACUGCCAGAACCACCAAGCUAAGCCAUUCCUAGAUUCCUGUCCUACAGAAACCGUGAGAGAUAAUAAUUGUUUACUGCUUUGAGGCAUCACAUUUUGGGGUAAUUGUUAAACAGCAACAGGUAACUAACACGGGAGGGCAGACCUCUAUUGGCUUACAUCUCAGGAUUCGGUGAGAUUCUCCUUGAUAGUUCUACUCUCUGUCCUGUUGGAAAGUCCUGCAUCUUGAGAGAGGUAGGGAGAAGCCAUGGUGCCUCCUUGCCCUCUACAGAGCUGGGGACAGAGACUAGACAACCAAGGCUGCGUCUCUGGCUCUCAGUUGCGCUAGCCAACAAUGCUUUGACCAUCUCUACGAGGAAUCAGCAAAGUGUUCCUUAAAAGGCCAGAGAGAAAGUAUUUUAGGCCUUGCAGGCCACAUAGGAUAUUUGUUACAACUACUCAGCUCUGCCAUUGUAGUGCAAAAACAGCAUUCGACAACGCACCGUCAGGCAUUUUCUAAUAAAGCUUUAUUGAUAAAAACUGGUGAGUGAUCUAAGGGCCAUAGUCUGCCAAUCCCUGGUGUACACAGAGGGGAAACACAGCACACGAAGGCCUUUGGUCAGACAGGCUUACAGCGCUGGAAGUUCACUACCCGUAGAGGGAAGGCUAUUCCUCAGCUGCCUUACCUUGGGCCCCACGAAUGCCUUACCCUUGUCCCAGGAGGCCAAAAUAUUUGGCAUCUCUUACAAACACAGCUACACAUGAAAAACAGAUAAGGGAGCCCUUGGUUUGCUGAGAAUCUGGGAACUUGUCACAGCUGUUACUGAGGAAGUGUCCAUACCUGCUGGAAGGUCCAUUUCAGCCCCAGUAGAGACUAUGUGUCUUCAUUGGUUAUUGCUUUCAUACAUAUUACCUCUUUUCUUUCUCACCUCUAGUUAUUGUUGUGUAGAAAUUACUCCAAAACUCAAUGGCUCACUCACGUGGCUAGCAUGAGGCUGCUUGAGUGUCCUCACAACAUGGCAACUGGCUGAGCUCUAGAAGUCACAUGUUGUCAUAUCUACUGUAUUCUAUUGUUCAUAUAGGUCAGCCCUGAUUCAGUGUGGGAGGGACUAUAAAAGAGUAAGAAUAUCAGGAUGCAAGGAUCGUUGGAGGCCAUCUUGGAGGCUGGGUAGAGUGAGUGAGGUUAAUGCCAUACUGGGGAUGGUCACUACAAAAGCUCACCCAGUUAAGUUUGGUUGUUGCGUGAGUGGGGGGCAAAUAGAAGGGACACGAUCACCUGUUCAAAUAUGUAUAAGUGACUUGUAUUUUUAGGCCCUGUCUUGAGGCACCAAGGCUCCGGUACCAAUGGUUGUGGGUUUCAGCUACAUUCAACCACACAUUUUCCUUGGGGUGCUGAUACCACAAUCUCGAUGCUCUGCCAUUUCUCGGAGUCUGCAGUAAAUGUUUAUCUUUCUGUUUUGGCUUCCCAGCGUCCAAAUACUUUCGUAGAGGAAUGUCCCAUGUGGGAGUCUUCGUAGGGGCAGGCUCCUACCUGGUUCUUCGGCCUUUCUGUCAGUACCUGAUCUACCCUACGACUCUCCAAUAAACCCCUUCACUGUUUAAAUCAGCGACACUCAGAGGAAGCUCACUUGGUGCCAAAGCCACUACGUCUCUGCUGUUGUUGAGGAAACAGCUGCCAAAGCAGAACACCCGCUACGGAGUCGGACAGACCUUGGCUCCUGCCCCAGCCCUGCUGCUUUCAUGCGAUGACUUGCUCUGGAGGAAACCAGCCACCAUGGCAAGGGGACAUUUGUGAAGUCAUGGAGAGGCUUGUGGGAAUAAAUGUGGUGUUCUCUCAGAAUCUAGCACCAAAUCACCAGGCAUGCCCUACUUUGGAAGUAAAUCCCUUGGCACCAGACAAGCCUUCAGAUAACCGCAGUCCAGCUGACAUCUUAACUACAAGCUGAUGAGAAGCCCCAAGCCACAGUUGCCCAGCCAGACCACUUCUUAAUAUCUGACCCUUCGAAACUGUGACAGAGCAGAAAAUCUAGUGUAAUAGAACUCACUCAUGGCCAGGCAUACAACAGGGGCCUCGAUGCAGCUUUACAGAUGAGUACUGAAAGAUGGUGUGAAAUCCACCUUGCUCUUUUCAGCUCACUGGGACCUGACUCAUUCCAGUUUCAGGAACUAAGGCACUAUGGAAGAUUAAAAGAAGAAGAUGACAUGGCCCCUACCCCCCCAAAGACUGUGGUUUUCUAAUUGGGAAGAUAUGCACCUGUGAGAAGGAUGAAACUUAAUAACUGUAUAAAAUAACAAUGAAAGAGAAACUGAGGCUGGGAGACAUUAAGGACUUUCAUCCCUAUUCAGACUCUUACCUGGGUGACUCCGAAGCCCAAGAAGGCAUUUUUCCCCCAAACAUGGCAGUCUACAUCCUUGUGCUGACCUCUAGGCUGUUGGGUUGGACAGGAGGGCUCCUGUGUGGCCUGGCCCCUCACUAGAUCACAUGUGCUCAGUGACUGGGCUCUUACUUCUUGGCUUCUAUUUGUCUCUAGCAAUACCAGGGCACCCAGGCCCACUGGCUCAGCAAGCACCAAGAAGAAAUGUUCACACCAAGGAACACACCCACCAUGGGUUCCCUGGAAUGGAGGGUCCCAGCGAGCCACCACCAGCACUCAUGCCUUGGAAGAAUUUGGUGGAUGAGAAGAGAAGGACAUGGGUAACAGCUUCCCCACUAACCACGUACCUGGGAGCAUUCCCAGCCAUGAGCUCACCAUCCUUGCUCAGAUGUCAAGGCUGACAGAUAGUGAGCAGGGAUGAAAACAAACUAUGGUGAGCUUUGCUUUCUCUCUUCUCUUAGCUGAGAAGAUGCUGGCUGUGGGCUUUCCUGUUGCUGUUAAUGAUGUGUAACUGCAAGAUCUUGGGCUGCACUUUCUUAACACACACACGGAUCAUUCAUUCACUCAAUAAACAUACGUUGCAGGCCUAUUCCUGGCAAACUAGCAGUCAAAGAAGGGAAUUCUGGUGCCUGUCCUGGGUUCAGGCCUGGUCUAGGGAGUCUGCUGCUAUAAUUACUCGUCUUAUUAUUCAGUGGAAGUCCUAAGCUGGGUGCUGGGGGGAAGAGGGAUAGUACUCAAGGAGCAUUCCUGUUAGAAGAGGCAUUAAGACAAGUACACAAAUAGCCCGCGAUUGUGAAAUAAGAACCGUGCAGAAAACAACGAGUAACCUAACAGGCAACUUAGAAUUAUAAGCACUGUCUCUUUCAAAACUGCUCCUUGGGGAGGCCUCGUAGUUAUGGCUAAAACAUUGUUGCUGAUCGUUAAAGGAACUUUUUAACAUUUAUUGAUUUAUCGUUAUUAUAAAAGUAAAACAUAUUUGUUUUUACUUUUUUUUUUUAAAGUAAUCUCUACCCCCAACAUGGGGCUUGACUUCACAUCCCCGACGUCAAGAGUCACAUGUUCUACCGACUGAGCCAGCCAGGUGCCCCCAAAUUCAUUUUUUAAACUUUGGGAAGUAUAGAAAGCAUUUCAGAAAUGUCUCAUAAUCCCAUCAUCCAAGAAACUUUAGUCAAUGUUGUGCAUAUUUUCUUUCAUUUGAAUCUUUUCCGGAAGUAUUUUUGAGCUCCACAUUUGGUGCCUCUACUCCCUUCGUCUCUGUAGCACAUUCUUUUGACUUUGCCGAGUGAGACAGAUCUUGAUCCUUUGAAGGUAGGUUGCAUUUUGGAAACAUUCGUAAGUCAUCAGGAACCAGGUGCAGCAAAUUUGGUGUGAUCAAGCCAAGGGCACGUUGCUUUGGGUCCAAACACGAGAUGAUGGAGUAAUGAAACUAAUUUUAUGGGGGGGGGGUGGCUUGUAAAAUUGUACUAACAGGAGUUCCAGUGGAUGGCUUGAAAUUUGACUUUGCCACAAGCAGAGACUUAGAAAUAAAAGAUCUCGAAGAGGUCAGAAUGCUGGGUUGUUCAUUUUUAAUUUCUGGUACCAAGUGUUAUGCCUGACAAAUCACAGACACUUAAAAACAGUUGGGUGACCCGAAGGAGAUCGACCACUAUAUUUUUAAUUGAUUUUUAAUUGCUGUGUGACUUUGGUUAGCAUUCCUUCCUCUAAGGGACUCAGGCGAUUAUAACCCUCCAGAAUUUUCUAUAUUAUACUCAAGAAUAUAUAUAUUUUGAAAGUAAGGUAAAGAAAAAAUAGAUUGUUAACACUUUAAUUAUAUAAUUCAUAGAAAUAUUCCACUUAUAAAAAUGUAACCUUAAAUACAUGGCUAUACUUCUGACUACCAUAGUCAAUCCUAUUCCCCCCUAGUCCUCAGAUGAAAUGAAUUUAGUUAACAGAUUGAUAUGCAACUUUCCAAUUAUUCUAUGUUUGUG